CCUACGGGUGGCAGCAGUCGAGAAUCAUUCACAAUGGGGGAAACCCUGAUGGUGCGACGCCGCGUGGGGGAAUGAAGGUCUUCGGCUCGUAAACUUCUAUCAACAGGGACGAAAGAAAUGACGGUACCUGAAUAAGAAGCCCCGGCUAACUACGUGCCAGCAGCCGCGGUAAUACGUAGGGGGCAAGCGUUAUCCGGAAUUACUGGGUGUAAAGGGUGAGUAGGCGGCAUGGUAAGCCAGAUGUGAAAGCCUUGGGCUUAACCCGAGGAUUGCAUUUGGAACUAUCAAGCUAGAGUACAGGAGAGGAAAGCGGAAUUCCUAGUGUAGCGGUGAAAUGCGUAGAUAUUAGGAAGAACACCAGUGGCGAAGGCGGCUUUCUGGACUGAAACUGACGCUGAGGCACGAAAGCGUGGGGAGCGAACAGGAUUAGAUACCCUGGUAGUC
rnacentral:rRNA from 1 species